rnacentral:rRNA from 1 species
UCGAAUUUGUCCCUAUCUACUUUCUAGCGAAACCACAGCCAAGGGAACGGGCUUGGAAAAAUCAGCGGGGAAAGAAGACCCUUUUGAGCUUGACACUAGUCUAGCAUUGUGGGAGGGCAUGCGGGGUGUAGCAUAAGUGGGAGCCGGGGAUCACGCGGAAUUCAUUGAGAAAUGUUUUUCGUGCCUCGGCGACUUUGAAAUACCACUACUCGCAUCGUUUUCUUACUUACUCGGUAAUGCGGAACGCGUGCUGUUUGGUCCGUGGUUCGGCCGGGGGGGUACGUUCUCGUAUUGGUUCCCAUCAUUUUAUAUGCGUGCGGUUCCGUGCGACGAAUACGCCUUCCUUGUUGUCGAGCCCAUUGCGACCUUCAGUUACGAUGGAUUCCCGGUCGACUUAAGCGCGAUUUAGUUCGUCAAUAUGGUCAUUCUUGAACAACGACGACGAUUACUUCGCGGUUUUUUUCGUUCGAAGUUCUCGGAUGAUUUGACGACGUCGCGUGAUCCGAUCCGAGGACAUUGUUAGGUGGGGUGUUUGACUGGGGCGGUACAUCUGUCAAAGAAUAACGCAGGUGUCCUAAGGCCAGCUCAGCGAGGACGGAAACCUCGCGUAGAGCAAAAGGGCAAAAGCUGGCUUGAUCCCGGACGCCCAGUACGCGUAGGGACUGCGAAAGCAUCGGCCUCUCGAUCCUCUCGUCCGCUGAAGAGUUUUCAGCGAGAGGUGUCAGAAAAGUUACCAGAGGGAUAACUGGCUUGUGGCGGCCAAGCGUUCAU